UGCAAUCGGGCAUGACACGCCAGGUCAGUACAUUGAAUGUACUUGCAAGCUCACAACAACCAAAAACAUCAAGGCAAGACAACAACAUAGCAUUAAGCAGGUUAAUUAAAUUAACAUCUACCAUGAUAUAAGAGCAACUCCAAGCAUAAUAUGAAACUACUACAAUACUGAUAAAUCACCAUCUCCGAUCUCCAUAACCAUAUCUCUCUUGGUUAACCGGACAAGCAAUAUACCAUCUCGAUCGCCUCGUGAUCAAAACCAAACUGUAACCUUGAUCCUUACGACGAUCACAACCCGACCAAUACAUGGCCCGUGAUCCUUACGACGAUCACAACCCGACCAAUAAAUGGCCUGUGAUCCUUACGGCGAUCACAACCCGACCAAUACUUGGCCAAUCUGUACUGCACCACAUAUCCAUCAACUAUACGUCAUUCCGUCAGGUGAGUGUUGAUCGAACGGUGUACCCUAGUACGAACCCAUGCCCAUGACUAAGGAUGCGGCUAUCGAUAGAUUAAACACACACACUCUAUAGAGGUAGCGCACUAUACCCACACCACAGAACCCAUGGCCUCGCACUCCCAUUCGGGUGGACCAACGGUGUUCCGACAAAAUCGAUCUACUGCCAUGACACUCUCCCGCCCACUCCGACUCACUCCCCACUGUGCGAGUCAUGGGUGGCCCCGUGUCUACCCCCAGACACAAAGACCACCGUCGUGGCCCGAUCCACUCUGAGACCCUCGCGCAAAAUGAAAUCAAAAUCGGGCACACAACGCUUAUGUCCGCCUACCUGAUCAGGGUAGCGCGUGCACAUAACCUUCCCUCAUUGGAGGAAACGGCGAUAGGCACGACAAUAGACUGCAUUAGGGUCGUCCCGUACCGGCAAAUGUGGUUGCACUGGAAAAGUUCGAUUCGGCGGCACCUGACCAACUUACUGAUGGAAUUUAUCCACAAAACUAUAACCAUGAUAACUGAUACUCCGAUGUCAACCAUCAAACUAUAAUCCAAGUCAUACAAAUAUCCAACAAAUAAUUCAAGCAUAAUAUCAUCAUCUCAAAAUACUCCGAGAAUAUCAUAACACUACUAUCAUGGUGAAUCCGAAACAAUAAUCCUACUACUCCAAUAACAAGAAUACAACUAUCAAGCUAAGAUCCACAUGUAACCAUCAUGUCCGAAAAUAAUACUCCAAGCAACAGAACAUCAACUAGCAUCAUGAAAAUAUUCAUACUAACCACUAGUAACCCAAAGGUAGCAUGAUAUCCAAAGUAAUACUCCAAAACAUACUAGCAGAUAUCAUCUUGAAACAAUCAUAGUUGCAGCCAAUAAUAUUCCAAUGGCAACAUGAUACUCAUCAACUACAAACAUAACUCCUAGUAAUCCAAACAAUAGCAUGGCAACAACAAAAUCAAAAUAAUACUCCAAGAAAAUGUCAUGCACAGAGUCAUGUUGCUAAAGCAAUAUUUUAAACAAGUUCAAAAUGAAAUAAACCAUGUCACUGCAUUGCAAUCAUGCAAAGGGAUGGUGUGGCUUGCCUGGGGUGGAAGAAAUCACCGGGAGAAAGUGCAAGAAGUUUGCGGAAAUGAAUCGCCGGAAAUCGUUCUCUCUCGGAGGGGGCUGAUUAAGGGCAGGGGAAAAUGGUCAUUUUCAGUAUGCCAAAACAUAAUGAAAGUGAUACCAACUGAAAGGUCUUGACGAAACGAAAAAGUGAGCAUUGGUUUCACCUUAAACGGAGUUACGGAUAAAGAGUUAUGGGGGUUGAAGUUCAGGGACUUUUCUGCAAAAAUUUCAUCACAAACAAGUCCCUGAGUGGAUAAGGCAGAGGCGCAAUAUUAGAAAUACGAUUUCUGGCUAAGAAAAUGUAUACAUGGCUGAAUCGGAGAGGAAUGUGCUUUUGGAAACAAAGACGUAAUCGAGCGGAUUACGCGUCCACUUAUCCAGCGUGGCAAAGGCGGGACCGGGCGGCUGAGAGACUUACAGGCGGGGCCCGCGGCCAGCUAGCAGGGAGGGGAUCGUCUCCUUCCUCUCGCCCGCGUUCGCCCGCGGUCCAAAUGGAGGUCCCCGGUGCGGGAGCUGGUCCGGCCGGCUCCGGCCAUCUCCGGCGGCGCCCAACACACCAAAAAGAUCAGGAGAUGGUGGCCCGUCCAUCCCCGCACUAAACGGGCCUCGAAGAGGGCGGGAGCGAGGGCACCAUGGACCAUGGCGGACAGCAGCUCGGUCGGGAUUUGAGGCGACGCUAGGGUGGAGGAACGGGAGGGGCAGUGGUCGGGAGGGAUUCACCGGAGUUGAGGGACUCCACCGGAGUUGGAAUGGGGAGGGGAGGAGUUCGACAAAGAGUGGAUUUAGGAGGGCAGGCACGGCGGCCAUGACGGCCAUUGGGGGGCUCAUGAGCUCCUGGAGCUCGGGUGAGUAGCUAGGAGGGACCAGAGGAGUGGUGUGAGGCUGCUGAUGAGCUCGGGAGGGCUCGGGGAUGGCUAUUUAUAGCCGGGGCAAGAGGGAGCCGCGCUGGCGUCGCCGUGGACGCGUGGCCGGCGCCACGGACGCGUGUGCUCACGCAUGAGCUCGGGAAAGAUGACUGGGGAGGAUCAGUGGGGGCUCUCACGGGGCAGAGGAGGCCAAGGGGCGCAGGGAGGAAGACAACGGCGACGGGAAGAUCCAAAACUCCACUAUGCUCUCGUGGGCGUUCGGCCGCGAGCGUCGGUGAGGAAGAGGGCGGAGGGGGAGAGGGGUCCAUCGGAGCAUCGACGAUGAUAUGCAUCCACUUGACAAGCUCACGGACUCUAAGAUAACAAGGGGGAAUGGUGCCAAAGCACAAACGGAGCUCUGGACACGCCACAACGCACAGAGCACGCCAACAGGCAUGCCAGCUGCAUGGUCACCACGAGACAUGGCACAUUAAUUGCUCUACAGCACCCAAAACGGUGUCUAGUGGUAAGUCAUUCGAAAAUAGGUUUGAACUGAGGUGGUAAGAAGGUUAAACAGGCUCUGGUAAAAUGGUUAUCAACUGCUGAAGUUUACUGCAGCAAACUUAGUCGUACACUGGUGAUCAACAGGGAACUGCUUGAGGCCAAAUAAGAUGUCUGGAGUGUUUAGAUAUGGAGGGACUAUGAUCCUGGAGUUUUUGAGGGUAAGAGGAUCAAGAUUUACUACAGUUGUUUCACAACUGCAUACUUGGUCCAGAAAUGAAGAUCAGGAAGGUGCACUCACAUGGUGUGUCCACUUAAGCUCAAAUUGGGCAAGCCUUGAUCUUUUGGUCAUAUUAAUAUGCUGUAAAAAGAUCGUGCUAAAUGGACAAGCCAAAAUAGCACUUUCUUCACAAACAUCUCUGCUGACCAGAAACUUGGAAUAAUUAUGGUGAUCAAACAGAUCAAUGAAAUGCUUGCAAAUUGGGUGGAGAGAUGUUUUAUUGGUAGAAGAAUGAUCUGGUAAUUUAUCAGGAUUUUUAUAGCAAUAUAAAAUAUACUUGCUUCACAACCUGAAAAUAUUGCCCGAAACAAAGAUUUGAUCCUGUGCUCACUUAGAUGAUUUGAUGGGGCUGAAAAUGGGUGAAGGGGUUUAAUAUGAGCACAUUAAGGAGUAUGAAAAGGUUCAACUUAUUUGGAUACUCCUAGCUAGUACUUCCUUCACAAAGCCUUCUGUCUGACAGAAACUUUGAAAAUUCACUAAGGAAGAUUGGCUAGGCAAAUAAAUAUGAACUUGUUCAUGGGGAAAUUAUUUGGACAUAUAAACAUGCCCAAAAUGUUUGGGAGUCACUAGGAAAAAUAUAAAUGACACUUCCUUCACAAAGUGCCAUUCAGGGCAGAAAGGAAAAAGGAAUAUUGGGGAAUUAGUUUUGAACUGUCCAAGGCAAUGUUUGGGCAUAUUUGAGCUAUAUAUGACCCAAAGGAAUUAUUAGAAUUAUUUUGGGAUUUUUGGAUGGACAGAAAUAAAGGUUGCUUCACAACCUAGGGCAGAUAGGUUAUUCCUUUAAUGAAAAAGGAAUUUUCCCUAGAAAAAGAUUUUAGGGUUUGGUCAAGGAGUGAAGUGACAUGAUCUUAGGCAAGGUUUUGAGAAUGAUGAGCCACUUGGGAGGAGGAAUUGAGGAUGAUUUCCCAAGUGGCAAGGCCACAGAACCACUCCAAAAAGAAAAACAGAGCAAAAACCAAAUAAAUCAGAAGAAAAAGAAAGGGCCAAAAUCCAGACUGUUACAAACCUUCCACCAUUAAAGAAAUCUCGUCCUCAAGAUUUGGUUACUCAGGGAACAAGUAUGACUUGAGGACACCGUUUCCAACUCGGGUAUCCUUUUUCCUUUAUUUAUUGUUCCCCCAAGAAUUUCAGAUGAUCAACUUACCUUGCUCUGGGGUGGUUUGCUUCACCUUUUCCAAAUUCUGACAGGUCUUUGCUCAUAUACCAAAUCUUUUUGUUGACGUGAAUUUUCUCAUAUCUGCAGUGGUGUCCAAUGGGUUUGAGCAUAAAUUUUCUUUUGAUCAUGAAAACCCUUUUUGCUUCUGUCAUGAGGUUGCUUCAAAUAAAUGCUGACCUUCUAGGUUCCAUAAAUGCUGAGAAUUAUCAUGGGCAUCUCUUGAUGGAAUCUGACGGCUCAUAGGUGGCACUGAUUUAUCUUGAUUUAUUUCCUCGGCUCGAGCAUGAGAUAUGUACCAACGAUUUGACUGCCUUCUAUUGUGAGCAAUAUAUUGGAAUAUGGAGUUAUAGCUAUGUCAUACCUCAAUUAUUUCCGUUUUGAGACUGGCCUGACAGGGGCUAACGGACAAAUGCUUUUCCCAACAGACUGACCAUGCAUUUGAUUCUGUCGGUGAGUAUACCGGGUCUGAGCUGAUUGUCUGGCUUUUGACUUUCUCAUUUUGUUGGUAUACCCAUCUGUGGUAAUAGACUGUGAUAUGCUUUCAUGCCGUCGUUGAAGUCAGACUGCUGAGAUUGCAAAGGAAUCUUGGAUCUAUUAGAACAGACUUGGAUAUUCCACACUAACCAUGUCAAGCGGGUCAACGGGAUAUGAAAAAUCCUUGUAAAUAGAGUAGGCCGCUGAGAGUAUGACAUUGUGGAUCCAUAUAGAAUUAUGGCUUUCAACUGACUUGGGUAUCGGGACCCUGAUGGUCAUGCAAAAAUCAUCAUGCUUUGCUGUCGGUCUCAUCCUUUUUAUGGUCCUGGUUUUCUUGAUUAGGAUACCUUACUGAAACAACUUGGCCACACAUAUCCUUGAUUCUUCGGAUGUGAGCAGUGCAAUAUUUUUGACAUUAUUCCUCCUUGUUUUCUGACCCCGAGUUCGCACACAUAUGACAUAUACCCAGGGUUUGUAGCUGUACGAAGCUCAUUGCUUGAGGACAAUCAUACAAGAAGGUGACAAGGUUUUAUAAUAUCGCCUUGUUUGGUACGGGAAUAAUGAUCUUGAUGACCAUUGUCAAGACUGUGGAUUUUGUCAUCUCCAAAUAGUAUGGCUCCUUGCAUCCCAUGAGAUGUAUUCUUGCUUAUUUUCCUUUGCCUGACUGGGGAAGUUGUUGAAUCCUUACUUUCCUUAGGUAUAUCUGCUGGAUCACUGUCGCAUCUCGCAUGAGUUACUGAUAUGACUGGGGAUGCAUGCUCACCAUAUAUAAGAAGGAUAUGCCACCGAUCACUCGAUCCUUGCGGUGAGCAUCUGUUUUGUCUGAAUUUUACCUCUAACAAAAUUAUUGCAAAUCUGGUCCUUGAGCGGUACUGCCAUACAUCGGCAACUCAUCAUAUAAUCUCGGAGGAUGGUGCAAUAUUGUGGUACUGACGCAGACUGCAUGACUUACGAGAGAAGCCAUCCGAGUAGCUUGCUGAGGAAGGCUUGUUAACUUCUGCUCAAAUCUUUUGCUUGGGUAUCUUGUAGAAGAAGGCUCUAUAGCUUACACACGAAGCUUGGUCUGAUUAUUGUGCUGGAGAAGCCUGAGUUCCGUACGUGAGAAGCUUCUCCUCAGGUUUGCUUGUUGAUAAAAAUUCAUUUCCAUCUGUCAGAAGCCUUUACCGAGGUGUCUUGAUGUGAAAGACUGGGUAUCGUGGGUCGGAAAUUGUUCACAUAUCAUGCGGAGGAAAAUUGAGGAGCCUUGCAUCAUAAAUUUCUUCUGAUAACGUGUGGAAGAAUACUGGGUUUCUUAUAUCCAAAACUUCAAACUGAUAUGCAGACUAAAAUCUAAAAUCAUGCCCUUAAUAUUCUGAGGAUGAUUAUUUGCAUGAGAAAAAUGGUUCGACUAUCUUUCUUGAGCAUAACAUAUUCUGACUUUAUUUCGGAUGAUAACAUAUUUCAAGCAUCAUGCAUUGUUGAGCCAAAACUUUGUAUAUGAUCCAUACCUCUGUCUAAAAAUAUAUCAUUGGUCUUGUACCUGACUUGUCUUUUUGCUGGCUGGAUCAUAACUGCUGUGAGGAUUUUGCACUGAUGUAGACUCGAUGCUGAUAAUUAAUCCAAUUCACCAUUGGUAUUCUAAGCAGAUUUUAAUGCUAUACUGCAGUUGACUGAGACAAUAAUGUCUAGUUGAGCUUCUUCCAAAUAUUUUAAAUCCUUAUGGCUUCUUCAAGUCCGGUGUCAGUGGAUGAGCAAUUCUUUAUAGGGGAAAAUAAUGUAACACCGGGGCACAAAAAGAAAGAAGCAAAAGAAAACUCAACUAAACAAAAGCACAUAACAACAAACAAUUCACACACAAUCAAUGUCACAUAUUACUGCUAGUCACACAAUAUGCAUGCCUACUUAAGCGCACCAAUCUCGUGGGAUCUCCGGUUCUACGAUCUAGCAUGCUGUGACGAUGUGCACGAGGACGAAUAAAUGUGUGGAAGAGUUGGUGUAAACAGCGCUACACUAAGUGCUAGCUUAGCCAGGUGGCAACCUAAACUAGCUCGGAGGCGAGGACAUACUCGGUAAUCAUGUAGUGGGACACGAAAGUCGCAACCACAUUAUUAUCAAGCGGACAGAAAAAGAUCCGUACUCGUCCAAGAAAUAGGAUAGCGGGGAAAAUUGAGGCUGCUGACAUUGCCCUUUCUUGAUAACUAAGAUCAUUAAGGGUUGCCAACACGACAAAAUAAAAGAACGAUCUGGGAUAGAAACAUGUCCAUCACUGAAACGAUAGACGGGGCUGAAGAAAGACAUCGGCACAAUACCUGGCCACCAUUUUUGCAAACAUUGUCGGGAUCACUUGGCAUCACUCUACUGGGACAGAAUUGACACCAAACACCGAAAGAAAAAGGAACUGGAGAAAUGCUAAGGUUGAGCUGUAGUGGAUCCGAUCCAAUGCCAGCUACACUCACCAGAUAAAUCAUUAGCACAAAUGCUAAGGCUAUAUGAAUGCUAUGUAACAAACAAAUGCAGCAACCAAAUGCAAUAAACCAACAGGGGUCUAUACUACCGCUUUCUAACGUUUGCGCGUUCUAGGGCGUCCUACAGCCAGACCUGCUCUGGUACCAAGUGUUGUGGCAUCCUAGCUCAGAGAAACUGGAACGCCCCGUAAUCCAGCCCAGAGAUCAAGGAGAAGUCUUCUGGAAUAUGGCACUGCUUGCCAUAGAACAAAUCAGCUCUUAUUACAAGAAUAAAUACAAAGGUCUGAUGUUACAAAGAUUUACAUCAGCAUGGCGACACUACGCCUGGAUACUACACUUGCUCUAUGCUAGCAGUGGAACAACUCGUAGUAGCAGCAAUCUUCUAGCAGCAGAACAACGACGAAGGUGGUGAACUCCACUCCAUAGGGACUCUGGCUGGGACACGAUCUAGCUCGCACGAACGGAAACCACAACAAGAAAUCAAGCAAUCACGGCAUCACCUGCAAUCUGGCAUGACACGCCAGGUCAGUACAUUGAAUGUACUUACAAGCUCACAACAACCAAAAACAUCAAGGAAAGACAACAACAUAGCAUUAAGCAGGUUAAUUAAAUUAACAUCUACCAUGAUAUAACAGCAACUCCAAGCAUAAUAUGAAACUACUACAAUACUGAUAAAUCGCCAUCUCCGAUCUCCAUAACCAUAUCUCUCUUG
rnacentral:lncRNA from 1 species